rnacentral:tRNA from 1 species
GGGCGAUUAGCUCAGUUGGCUAGAGCGCCACGUUUACACCGUGGAUGUCGGCGGUUCAAGUCCGUCAUCGCCCA